rnacentral:rRNA from 1 species
UACGUAGGGUGCAAGCGUUAAUCGGAAUUACUGGGCGUAAAGCGUGCGCAGGCGGUUGUGCAAGACCGAUGUGAAAUCCCCCGGGCUCAACCUGGGGAAUGGCAUUGGUGACUGUACGGCUAGAGUGUGUCAGAGGGGGGGUAGAAUUCCACGUGUAGCAGUGAAAUGCGUAGAUAUGCGGAGGAACACCGAUGGCGGAAGGGCAAUCCCCUGGGCCUGUACUGACGCUGAGGAGCGAAAGCGCGGGGAGCAAACAGG